GUUGCAUCUGGUGCAUUUCACAUAAGAGGGAAACGUACAAUGCAUUUGUUGUCUCCAUUGUUUGGCAGUUUAUCGUCUCCCAAACACGGUUAAAGACUUUUUGAAGUAAAGAGGAGCAUCUCAUCUGGACCUGAUGUCUAUCAUGGAUAUCUAACUGCAGUACUCGUUCUACUUGCGGGCCCAUUUCUGAUCAUCAGUGAAGGCUGAAGAUCAUUUCAAGGUGAAUGACAAUUUGGCAUUUCUUCGACGGAACCCUGCACCUGAAUAUGGCUGAGUAUAUUUGAUUUAAUAUCGAUACUGCUUAGUGUUCUUUGUUACUUCAGCUUUCAUACGUUCUAAAUAUCUGGUGUCAAUAAUUGCCGUAGAAGUAAAACCCUACCCAAUGGAAUGACGUUAAACAACGACUUUGGUGCUUAUUUACCAACUGGAUAAUAACAAAGCUAAAAUAAUGGCCGUCAUUCCCACAUGUUACAGUAGAAGAAACUCUAGAACUGUACAAAAAGGUAACAUGUAGUUUGUCCCAAGGUGUCUGCCUCCUCACCCAGAGCCAGACCUCCACCUCCUCACCCAGAGCCAGACCUCCACCUCCUCACCCAGAGCCAGACCUCCACCUCCUCACCCAGAGCCAGACCUCCACCUCCUCACCCAGAGCCAGACCUCCACCUCCUCACCCAGAGCCAGACCUCCACCUCCUCACCCAGAGCCAGACCUCCACCUCCUCACCCAGAGCCAGACCUCCACCUCCUGUCAGAAGUCCUCCAGAACAGCUGAAAGGCGAGGCUGAGAGGCUGGGGACCGGCUUGUGGUGCCAGGAUGGACCGGAGACUGAGGCUGGAGACCAGGGGCCUGCAGCACCGGACCAGGGGACCAGGAAUCCAUGGCUGAAGGGGCUGAUGGAGGAGCCGUGCUGAAGAACCUGCCUGAUGGAGGAGCCGUGCUGAAGAACCUGCCUGGUGAAGGAGCUGAUGGAAGCCCUGCCUGGUGGAGGAACUGAUGGACGCCCUGCCUGGUGGAGGAGCUGAUGGAGGCCCUGCCUGGUGGAGGAACUGAUGGAGGCCCUGCCUGGUGGAGGAGCUGAUGGAGGCCCUGCCUGGUGGAGGAUUCCUGUCGUUGCGUAGAUGGAGCCCGACUCUGAAACAAUGAAUCUGUCUGAAGAGAGCUGGUGGUGGAGCUGAGAAGCUGCAAGAAGAUUAGGAAUUGACCAACAAGGAUUCCUCACGUUGGGGCCAGAUUUGAGCUGUUUGUUCCAGACCAGGACUCUGGCUGAGGAGCGCUGAUGGAGGAGACAAGACUCUGGAGGACGACAUCACUCUACCUACGAGGAUCCUCGUCAGUUUGCAUAAAACCAGGAAUCUGGAUUACUGACGGAGAAGCCAUAGAUCUGGAAGGCAAAUCCUGAGGACGACCAGGACUCCUCGUAAAUUUGCAUUAUCUGGACCUGGUGGACCAGACACACCUGAGCUGAACCUCACCUGAUCCUGUUUGGUCGGGGUCAGACUCACCUGAGCUGAACCCCACCUGAUCCUGCUGGUCCCGUCUCCUCAGUUCAUCUUAGCCUCGUCUUCCAGAAGUCCUGCUGAACUCAGCGGUCUGAUCCUGAUGGAUCAUUGACCUCCAGUGGGAGUGAUCUUCUUGACCACAUAAGUACCUGUGUGCUUCCACACGCCUUUCCCUCACGUUUGUCACUAACCUUACUACUUCACUAAUCUCUAAUCCUUCCCUUCUUCUUCCUUCUCCGUGGUUCGAACCUUUACUCUGAAGGAGUGUCUUCUUGAACCUUUACUCUGAAGGAGUGUCUUCUUGAACCUUUACACUGAAGGAGCGCCUUCCUGCCCUCAGAGGGUUCAGCGUUAGGGUUGAGAGUCAGGGUUUAGAGUCAGGGACAGAGCUGGUCAGGGAGGACUCGUUUUACACAAACCUCUUCAUUUGCUUUUGUGAAUGGUGGUGACAUUUUGAAAUUAUUAAUUUGGGAAAAUGUUUUCCUCUGCUUUCCUUUACAAAAGUAUGUAUUCAACUCCUGUCAAGUGUUUUUGUUUAUACUGUAAAUUAAAAUCCUACAUUGACUUCUGCAUGUUUGGUGCGUUUCAUUAAUUGUCCUUUGACUUGGUUAAUGUCAAGCUAAACUCCUGCAAUACAUUUAAUAUGCAUGAUGGAUGUCAUUCAGCAAUGUUCACAUAAUCCAUUUUGUAAAAAUACAAACACCCAUAUUACUACUAAAUUCAAGCCUAUUCAUGUAUUUAACAAUAUACAUACUGCCCCCGCAGGCCAUUCUCUGCUACUACAACACGUUCAAACCACCA